GAUGAACGCUAGCGACAGGCCUAACACAUGCAAGUCGAGGGGCAGCAUGAAAGUAGCUUGCUACUUUUGAUGGCGACCGGCGCACGGGUGCGUAACAGGUGUGCAAUCUGUCCAUAAUCGGGGAAUAGCCCAGCGAAAGUUGGAUUAAUGCUCCAUGUGAGCCGAGGAGGCAUCUCUUUGGUUUGAAACGUAAGGAUUAUGGGUGAGCACGCUUCUGAUUAGGUAGUUGGUGAGGUAACGGCUCACCAAGCCGACGAUCAGUAGGGGUUCUGAGAGGAAGGUCCCCCACAUUGGAACUGAGACACGGUCCAAACUCCUACGGGAGGCAGCAGUGAGGAAUAUUGGUCAAUGGACGGAAGUCUGAACCAGCCAAGUCGCGUGAAGGAUGAAGGUUCUAUGGAUUGUAAACUUCUUUUGUCUGAGGGUUAAAAAAGCGGAACGUGUCCGUUCUUGCAAGUAUCAGACGAAUAAGCAUCGGCUAACUCCGU
rnacentral:rRNA from 1 species